UAAAGUUUUUUUGAUUUUGCUCAGGAUGAACGCUGGCGGCGUGCUAAUACAUGCAAGUCGAACGCUUUGUGGUUCAACUGAUUUGAAGAGCUUGCUCAGAUAUGACGAUGGACAUUGCAAAGAGUGGCGAACGGGUGAGUAACACGUGGGAAACCUACCUCUUAGCAGGGGAUAACAUUUGGAAACAGAUGCUAAUACCGUAUAACAAUAGCAACCGCAUGGUUGCUACUUAAAAGAUGGUUCUGCUAUCACUAAGAGAUGGUCCCGCGGUGCAUUAGUUAGUUGGUGAGGUAAUGGCUCACCAAGACGAUGAUGCAUAGCCGAGUUGAGAGACUGAUCGGCCACAAUGGGACUGAGACACGGCCCAUACUCCUACGGGAGGCAGCAGUAGGGAAUCUUCCACAAUGGGCGAAAGCCUGAUGGAGCAACGCCGCGUGUGUGAUGAAGGGUUUCGGCUCGUAAAACACUGUUGUAAGAGAAGAAUGACAUUGAGAGUAACUGUUCAAUGUGUGACGGUAUCUUACCAGAAAGGAACGGCUAAAUACGUGCCAGCAGCCGCGGUAAUACGUAUGUUCCAAGCGUUAUCCGGAUUUAUUGGGCGUAAAGCGAGCGCAGACGGUUAUUUAAGUCUGAAGUGAAAGCCCUCAGCUCAACUGAGGAAUUGCUUUGGAAACUGGAUGACUUGAGUGCAGUAGAGGAAAGUGGAACUCCAUGUGUAGCGGUGAAAUGCGUAGAUAUAUGGAAGAACACCAGUGGCGAAGGCGGCUUUCUGGACUGUAACUGACGUUGAGGCUCGAAAGUGUGGGUAGCAAACAGGAUUAGAUACCCUGGUAGUCCACACCGUAAACGAUGAGUGCUAGGUGUUUGAGGGUUUCCGCCCUUAAGUGCCGCAGCUAACGCAUUAAGCACUCCGCC
rnacentral:rRNA from 1 species